GCCAUGGUGGCGGAAUUGGUAGACGCAACGGACUUAAAAUCCGUUGUCCGUAUGGACGUGAGGGUUCAAGUCCCUCCCGUGGCACUA
rnacentral:tRNA from 1 species